rnacentral:misc_RNA from 1 species
GGUUGGUAAGUUUGAAAACUUUUUUUAAAAAACAACUAUGUAUAGAUUUGUUGGCAAAAACUAUAUGCAGGCUUACUAUUUCAUCAGUUUUUGAGAUUCCUCCAAUCAACUCAGCCUUCCACUGAUAACAUCCAUUUUGUUUUUAGUUUUAGUUUUAGUUCCAUCUACAUCUGAAACAGUUGCUGCAUCUACAUCUGCUUUGGUUGGGUUUAUAUAAAAUGCUUCAUAAUGCUUUGAAAUCUUAACUAUCAUUGAAAAGAUGAAUUUAUACAAACACUUAUCUGCAAAACAACUUGAAGAUUUAGAUGAUGUGAUGUCUGAAAGAAUUGCUGGCAGAAAACUCUGUCAUGAAUGGUAUGAUACUGACUCAUCAAAGUCUAUCAUUUAUGAUGGUAGACUAGAAAAAGUAAGCAAGAGACAAAAUGAUAGAAUUUACACUAUUUCUUACUGAAAACAAGAUAAAACUGAUAUUGAAGCUGUUGAGCAUAAGAUGAAAAAAAUCCAGCUAGCUGCUGAUGUUGUAUUAGAUGAGAUAAUAUUUUCUUAGUUUGAAUAUGAAAUAAUGUAAAAAUGCUUGAAAAAAAAGUUCUGCAAGUUUUGUGGCUUGCAAACAAGUACUUCAAGGUUUGUGGAUUGCAAAUAGAUACAGCAAGUUUUGUGGUUUUCAAACAAGUACAACAAGUUUUGUGGCUUGCCAUUAGGUAAAGCAAGUUUCGUGGCUUGCAAUUAGGUACAGCAAGUUUUGUGGCUUGCAAAUAGGUACAGCAAGUUUUGUGGCUU